AUGGAUCUGAAUAUUCAAAUAACAAAGACCAAGUGGUUUGUGACUGACAGGCAAAUGGAGUGAAUGAUUUGAUGCCAAACAUAAAUGGAGAACAAGGAAAGCAAGUAGAUGAAUUUAAAUAACUCUGUAGAAUGUUUACAGAAGAUGGAGAAACAACACCAAGGUGUGUUUCAAAUUCCUGGGUGACAAUCUGUUGCAUGGAAGAAUGUGGUGACUGAAAUCCUCUAGAACCACCAGUCUCAAGAACACAAGGGCCAUCCACAAUAUUAAACUGACAAGUAAGUUUAGAAAAAUACAUUCUUCACCAUGUUCUUCUUCAGUGAUCAUUAUUACUCCAAUCUUUUGCAUGGAAUUAUGUCCUGAAGUAUAGAAUGCAAUCAUCUGAGAUUAGUAGCUGUUGAGAUGAUUAAGAAAUGGAGAAUUCUGCAAAAAGGAAACAACAACAAACCAGUAUCAGCAGCUAUUUCCCCCACAACUAUGAAGCAAGCUCAGCUACACUAUAAAAAUUAUAAAGGAAAAAAAUAUAACUUUCCUGUGAAUGAGAUACAAAAGCAGACGGUUCUUUUCUGAGAGAAACAAAUUUCUGAGAAAUCAAUGGAUAGAUUUAGACACACCAAUAAAUCAUUUGUAUUUAA